GCACAAGCGGUGGAGCAUGUGGUUUAAUUCGACGCAACGCGAAGAACCUUACCUGGGCUCGAAAUGUACCGGAAUCCGGCAGAAACGUCGGCGUCUAGCAAUAGACCGGUAUAUAGGUGCUGCAUGGCUGUCGUCAGCUCGUGUCGUGAGAUGUUGGGUUAAGUCCCGCAACGAGCGCAACCCUUAUCUCCAGUUGCUACCAUUUAGUUGAGCACUCUGGCGAAACCGCCUCGGAUAACGGGGAGGAAGGUGGGGAUGACGUCAAGUCCUCAUGGCCUUUAUGUCCAGGGCUACACACGUGCUACAAUGGCCGGUACAAACCGCCGCAAACCCGCGAGGGGGAGCUAAUCGGAAAAAGCCGGCCUCAGUUCGGAUUGGAGUCUGCAACUCGACUCCAUGAAGCUGGAAUCGCUAGUAAUCGUGGAUCAGCAUGCCACGGUGAAUACGUUCCCGGGC
rnacentral:rRNA from 1 species